CCUACGGGGCGCUGCAGUGAGGAAUAUUGGUCAAUGGACGAGAGUCUGAACCAGCCAAGUAGCGUGAAGGAUGACUGCCCUAUGGGUUGUAAACUUCUUUUAUAAAGGAAUAAAACGAGGCACGUGUGCCUUUUUGCAUGUACUUUAUGAAUAAGGAUGGGCUAACUCCGUGCCAGCAGCCGCGGUAAUACGGAGGAUCCGUGCGUUAUACGGAUUUAUUGGGUUUAAAGGGCGCGUAGAUGGGUUGUUAAGUCAGUUGUGAAAGUUUGCGGCUCAACCGUAAAAUUGCAAUGGAUACUGGCAGGCUUGAGUACAGUUGAGGUAGGCGGAAUUUGUGGUGUAGCGGUGAAAUGCUUAGAUAUCCCGAAGAACCCCGAUUGCGAAGGCAGCUUACUAAACUGUGACUGACAUUGAUGCUCGAAAGUGUGGGUAUCAAACAGGAUUAGAUACCCCAGUAGUC
rnacentral:rRNA from 1 species